rnacentral:rRNA from 1 species
AUUGAACGCUGGCGGCAGGCCUAACACAUGCAAGUCGAGCGAGCGGCGGACGGGUGAGUAAUGUAUGGGGAUCUGCCCGAUAGAGGGGGAUAACUACUGGAAACGGUAGCUAAUACCGCAUACCAUCAGCUGAACCCACAUGGGCUUGGCUUGUAGGUGAGGUAACGGCUCACCUCGCCGACUAUCCCUAGCUGGUCUGAGAGGAUGACAAGCUACACCGGAACUGAGAAACGGGCCAGGCGCCUCCGGGAGGCAGCAGGGGGGAAUAUUGCACAAAGGGGGGAAGGCUGAUGCAGGCAUGCCGCGUGUGGGAAGAAGGGCUUCGGGUUGUAAAGCAAUUUCAGCGAGGAGGCGUUACUCGCAGAAGAAGCACCGGCUAACUCCGUGCCAGCCGCCGGGGUAAUAC